rnacentral:rRNA from 1 species
CAACAAGCUGUUCCNUAGGUGAACCUGCGGAAGNAUCAUUAACCCUUCUAUCCCGAGAGCGCCAGCCUUGAGAAGCUCUUGUGCUUCCAGGGCGGUUCUUAUGGAUUUUAACCCAUGUCUUUUGCGUACCAUUUGUUUCCUUGGUGGGCUUUGCCUGCCGAUAGGACACCCCAAAACACCCUUUUNGUAGUUGCAAUCAGNGUCAGAAAAACACAAUUAUUACAACUUUCAACAACGGAUCUCUUGGUUCUGGCAUCGAUGAAGAACGCAGCGAAAUGCGAUAAGUAGUGUGAAUUGCAGAAUUCAGUGAAUCAUNGAAUCUUUGAACGCACAUUGCGCCCCUUGGUAUUCCAUGGGGCAUGCCUGUUCGAGCGUCAUUUGUACCCUCAAGCUCUGCUUGGUGUUGGGUGUUUGUCCCCGUUUCGUCGCGGUGGACUCGCCUUAAAGCAAUUGGCAGCCGGCACACAUGGCUNGGAGGGCAGCACAACAUUUCNCNCUUUNCACUCAUAACGACGACGUCCAAAAGNACAUUUUUACACUCUUGACCUCGGAUCAGGUAAAAA